rnacentral:rRNA from 1 species
UACGGGGGGAGCAAGCGUUGUUCGGAUUUACUGGGCGUAAAGGGCGCGUAGGCGGUCAGCACAAGUCAGUUGUGAAAUCUCCGGGCUUAACUCGGAAAGGUCAACUGAUACUGUGCGACUAGAGUGCAGAAGGGGCAACUGGAAUUCUCGGUGUAGCGGUGAAAUGCGUAGAUAUCGAGAGGAACACCUGCGGCGAAGGCGGGUUGCUGGGCUGACACUGACGCUGAGGCACGAAAGCUAGGGGAGCAAACAGG